CAGUAGCCACGGUAAUACGAAGGGGGCUAGCGUUGCUCGGAAUCACUGGGCGUAAAGGGUGCGUAGGCGGGUCUUUAAGUCAGGGGUGAAAUCCUGGAGCUCAACUCCAGAACUGCCUUUGAUACUGAAGAUCUUGAGUUCGGGAGAGGUGAGUGGAACUGCGAGUGUUGAGGUGAAAUUCGUAGAUAUUCGCAAGAACACCAGUGGCGAAGGCGGCUCACUGGCCCGAUACUGACGCUGAGGCACGAAAGCGUGGGGAGCAAACAGGAUUAGAUACCCGCGUAGUCCCUGUCUCUUAUAC
rnacentral:rRNA from 1 species